ensembl:lncRNA
AGAUUUUUCAGGACCACACUUCAAACGAAGGGGUAUGAAUUAUCUCAGUGUAGACCAGCUGCAGUGGCAACAUGGCUGCCCAAGCGAACAAAAAGACACCUAAAUACCUUAUGCUUGUCAGAGAUUCGUCAAAGUCACCGCAAUCACCACCCAGGACAAUUACCCGAUCACAAUCACCGGAGUUCUGAUAACCCGCACCUGCUGUCACCAAUCAAGCCACACUACAAAUACACACACAUCAUAGCCUCUCAGUGUUUGGUCUACCGUUCAUCUCUAUGGACUGUUCUGGACUCUCUCAGCCGAACUUACCGAGAAAGCCUUACCUACGGUUUCUCCUGCAAACCUCCAACGACUCCUUGGAUUCUGAUCCAUGAUCUCCAAUGAACCUGCAUAAGAUACAAACCAUCAGUACUCAGAUAAGAACCCCAGAAACCUUCUCUGUUUUGAUACUCGCCUGCAUUCACUUCACCAUCUUCAUUCAUCUGCAAUCCUGUCAAUAAGGUUCCAAAGAAUAAUGAGGACCUAUAACCAAGUUCUCAGGUGUAAACAACAUGUGCUAGAUCUUUUUCCGUCUCAGUGGAGCAGUAAAGGACACGCUCAGUCACUGCUGCCUGCACCACUUUUGUAACUCUGCUUAUACAACAUGACUCAGACGGCCGUCAGGUGGUAGAGCACAGAGGUCAUGACAGAACACGCUGAGGGGGUGGAAAGCAAACAUACUUUCAAAGCACCAAUGAUGUUAUAGUGCACUCUUAUAGGCACACCAACAGAACACAUUUUGGAUGCCCCCCUCAUCUGAGCCAUCCAUUUCAGGUCUUGGAAUCUCUGCUAAUGAGCUGAUGAGUUGAUUCAGUGACAGCAUGGUGAGUCAGCUCCCCUGAAGAGCGCUGGACUUUCCUAGCAUUGCUGUGAUACCCGAGUGCUUUGCAGAAACAGGCAGCACUUCCCAUCAAGCAGCGAUCAGUCAUUUACCCUCACCUGCAGCUCACUGUUCACACACAGGGGCAAAUUUUCUCUGUCCCUGCCUCGCUGUGCCUCACGCCUCUUUCUCAAUUCACCUCGUGCCACGCUGAGCAGUCCGAACAGUGGACGGAGAGGUGCGUGUGUUAUCAGCCCACUGAGAGAUAAUGCCACACAGGGUCUCAUUGUCUUUCACGUGCACUUGUGAGCGGGGAGAUGUGGAAAGAAGGCUGACCUGCACAUUUAGAGCUAAAUAUUCAGGAAUGACACCAUCCAAGGGUUCAUGAUGACAGAAAAGAUGAUGAGUCUCCCAUAAUGAACAGGUUACAUGAGGUUACAUAAAUAGAACAGGUUACAGGUUUGGAUAGGGACAUUUCACCCUAAAUGGAAUGUUUUGUCAUCAUUUACUAACUUUUUUUUUUCUUUUUUCUUUUUUUUUUAGGAUUUUUUUCUUCUGUGGAGCACAUUUGUAGAUGAUUAGUUUUAUGUCUUUUAUUUGUAUGUAAGGUGUCCUUGAGUGUCAUGUAAUAAUACAAUUUGUUAUUAUUAUUAUUAUUAUUAUUAUUAUUAUUAUUAUUAUUAUUAGCAGA